CAAACAAAUGAAAGCAUUAUUACAAAUUCGUUCGUCUUACAAAAAAUAUUUAGUAAUACAUAAUUAUCUCAUCGGCCAAAGAACUAUAUUUCCUUAAAAGGAGGGAAAAGAAAAUAUCACAAGUAUUUCACCUUUGAUUCCCCUUAAGGGCAUACGAUACAGUUAAAGGGGAGAUAAUCACGUCGCAAACGUAAAACGUUAUUUUUCGCGACGUCAAACUGUGACAUAUUUUGGAAAACAUGCAUUUUCCGACUGAUUUUAAUCAUAAGUUUGAAAACGAGGUUCCUCUUUUUCAAAAUGACAUUUAACUUGAUUAUGUAUGGAGAAUACGUGUACCAAUUUUUAAGAAAAAAUCACCAAUGAAUUUUGUUUAAUCAGAUGAAUAUAAAGCAAAACAUGCCGUUGUUUUCUUAAGUCGUGAAAAAUUAAUAAAAAUAAAUUAUUUCCAAAUAAUUAUCACACAAAUUUAAAGCAUACUUAGGUAAAGAUGAUGUUCCAAAUGUUUUUACAAAAAUCUGUUUAUGAAACAAACAAGAGGCUCUCAAGAGCCUGAAUCGCUCACCUGUAUUUCAGAGGAGAAGAUUUUUCAAUGUUAGCAAACUUGAUGAACAAAUUGUGUAAAAUUGUCUUUAAAGGGCAAUAACUCCUUAAGGGGUCAAUUGACAAUUAUGGUCAUAUUAACUUUUUUGUAGAUCUUACUUUGCUGAACAUUAUUGCUGCUUACAGUUUAUAUAUAUCUAUAAAAGUAUUCAAAAUAAUAACAAAAAACUUCAAAAUUUUGUUAAAACUACCAAUUCGGUGGCAGCAACCCAACAAUGGGUUGUUCGAUUUGUCUGAAAAUGUCAGGGCCGAUAGAUCUUGACAAAUUAAACAAUUUUACCUCGUCACAUUUGCUCUGAAAGAUUUAAUUUUUGAGAUAUAAGCCAAAAACUGCAUUUGACCCUUAUGUUCUAUUUUUAGCCAUGGCGGCCAUGUUUGUCGAUGGAUACAAACUUCGGAUACAAUUUAUAAACAAGAUACCCUAAGGAACAUUUAGUUAAAGUUUGAAGGUAAUUGGCCCAGUAGUUUCAGAGGAGAAGAUUUUUAAAUGUUAGCAAACUUGAUGAACAAAUUGUGUAAAAUUGUCUUUAAGGUGGCUCACCCCAAUAAGGACCCCCGGAAGAAUUUUUUUAUUUUCACAUAUUUUGUAGAUUUUUUUAUGCUGAAUCCAAAAAUGCAAAGAAAAAAGGGGGUCACCAGGCUCGUUUUCCCCUCAAAUGGAAGCGAAAUGUGCGAUUUUGACCCUAUUUCCAAACUUUUACACCCUUUCAACAAUAACGACUACAUCAAAUUCAAAGACUUUUAGAACCAUGUCAGUAUGAUUAUUAUGUAAAAAAAAAAACAAUUAAAUUUGAAAUGUAAACGUUCCACUUGGUUGUUUUAGACUUAAAAAUCCUUUUAUUUUCAGAUUUAUGUCUAAAUUUGGCAUUUUUAUAUUUCAAUUUAAGGCUAAAAAUAUUGGUUAAAUCGAUUUUUCGUAAAAUUUCCCCGGUAGAUUUUUUUUUAAAACGGAUAUGUCAAAGCUAUGAACUUUUCGAGCAUUUUAAGGUAAAAUAAAAUGGGGGUCACAAGGCUUUUAAAAGUUUCGAGCUUUUGUUUAACCCCUCUACCCCAUGAGGUCUGAUUUCAAUGCACUCCAUUAAUUACUUUAUUGUGAUUUUAUUUAUUGAUGUCUUUAAAUAAAUAAUGUUUGUAAUUAUAUCAAUGGACGAAAGCUGAAUAUAAAUGUGAUGAACAUUCUACUGUUUGUUAUAAAAAAGCAAAAUUUUGAUUAUUUUAGUGAAAUACGGUAAUUUUGUCUGGCGCGAGUUGCUUCCCUCUAAUCUGGCGCCAUAAUCGGACAACAUAAAUUUCAGGGUCGCCAUUGCUGAGCAGCAUACUGCACUGAUAAAUACGACCAUGUGCAUGAAUAACAGACAUAGUGGCGAAUAGACAACGAUGAAGGCUUCAAGUACAUGUAAGAGGAAGGAGUGAUUUGUUGUGAAAGAUCCUGGAAUGUUCAACUUUACUUGGAAACUAUUGGCAAAGAACUGACAGAAUUAACACGAGAAGCCAGUAUCAUCUUGUCUUGCAAUUGGGAACUAUAUGUAAAGUGCAGAAACUUAAGAACAACAUUAGAAGCCAAGAUCAACAAUACUUGGAACUACAUGUAUAAUCAAAGUACUGUCAGAAUCCAUAUGAGAGAACCCAAGAUCAUCUACACUUGGUUUCUAUAUGCAAAGUGUUGUCAGAAUCCACUUACAUGUAAGAAGCCAAGAUCAACUAUAAUUUGGAAUUAUAUGCUUUAGUGCUGUCAAAAUCCAUAAAAAAAACCAAGAUCAAAAGGACUUACAUUGUACUUUACCUACCUGUCCCAAUGAUGAAUACAGAUUAAUGAGUCUUAUAAAAAACACUGAUGAAGAAUAUUGAUAUAAAAAUAAUGAAAAAAU